rnacentral:rRNA from 1 species
GCAAGUCGAAUGGGUUUAGACCCAUGGCAGACGAGGUAGGAACACGUAGGUACAUACCCCAAAGUCAGGGAUAAUCUGGAGAAAUCCAGGAUAAUACUUGAUAGUCUCUUCGGAGUAAAGAUUUAUCGCUUUGGGAAUGGCCUGCGGGCUAUCAGCUUGUUGGUACGGGAACGGAGUACCAAGGAUACGACGGCGAGGGGAGGUGAGAGCCUGACC